rnacentral:tRNA from 1 species
UGGUAUGUAGUUUAAAAGGCAAAACAAAUUUUUUAUAUUGUGAGUUCAAUUCUCACCGUACCAA